rnacentral:tRNA from 1 species
GUCCCUAUCGUCUAGCCCGGUCAGGACAUUGGAUUUUCAUUCCAAGAACCGGGGUUCGAAUCCCCGUGGGGACG